rnacentral:rRNA from 1 species
AGCCUGAACGCUGGCGGCGUGGUUAACACAUGCAAGUCGCACGGGCAGGGGUAACUCUGUCAGUGGCGGACGGGUGAGUAACGCGUAGGUAUCUAUCCUCGGGUGGGGGACAACCACGGGAAACUGUGGCUAAUACCGCAUGAUGACUGAGGUCCAAAGGCGCAAGUCGCCUGGGGAGGAGCCUGCGUCCGAUUAGCUUGUUGGUGGGUAAAGGCCUACCAAGGCUCCGAUCGGUAGCUGGUCUGAGAGGAUGAUCAGCCACACUGGGACUGAGACACGGCCCAGACUCCUACGGGAGGCAGCAGUGGGGAAUAUUGGACAAUGGGCGAAAGCCUGAUCCAGCAAUGCCGCGUGUGUGAAGAAGGUCUUCGGAUUGUAAAGCACUUUCGACGGGGACGAUGAUGACGGUACCCGUAGAAGAAGCCCCGGCUAACUUCGUGCCAGCAGCCGC